rnacentral:rRNA from 1 species
GGGGGGGGGGGGGGGGGGGGGGGGGGGAUGCGAGGCGGGCGGGGGGGCGGGGCGGGGGGGGGGGGGGCGGGUGGCGGACGGGUGGGUAACGCGAUAGUCACCGGCCCUUGCCUUUUGGAUGACUUCAGGAAGCUGUGUCUGAUCCCGGAGAGGAGCUCCUGCUGCAUGGUGUGUGUUGGAAAGUUUCGGCGGUUGGGGAUGUACUCGCGGCUUAUCAGCUUGUUGUGGGGGUGGGGGCUUACCAAGGCUUUGACGGGUAGCCGGCCUGAGAGGGUGCCCGGCCACAUUGGGACUGAGAUACGGCCCAGACUCCUACGGGAGGCAGCAGUGGGGAAUAGUGCACAAUGGGCGGAAGCCUGAUGCAGCAACGCCGCGUGCGGGAUGACGGCCUUCGGGUUGUAAACCGCUUUCGCCUGUGACGAAGCGUGAGUGACGGUAAUGGGUAAAGAAGCACCGGCUAACUACGUG